rnacentral:rRNA from 1 species
AGGCCCCUUCGGGGGUACUCGAGUGGCGAACGGGUGAGUAACACGUGGGUGACCUGCCCUGCACUCUGGGAUAAGCCUGGGAAACUGGGUCUAAUACCGGAUAUUCCCUUCUGGCCGCAUGGUUGGUUGGGGAAAGCGUUAUGUAGCGGUGUGGGAUGGGCCCGCGGCCUAUCAGCUUGUUGGUGGGGUAACGGCCCACCAAGGCGACGACGGGUAGCUGGUCUGAGAGGACGAUCAGCCACACUGGGACUGAGACACGGCCCAGACUCCUACGGGAGGCAGCAGCGGGGAAUAUUGCGCAAUGGGCGAAAGCCUGACGCAGCGACGCCGCGUGGGGGAUGAAGGCCUUCGGGUUGUAAACCUCUGUCUGCUCUGACGAAGCUGCUGGGUUUUCCUGGUGGUGACGGUAGGGGCGGAUGAAGCGCCGGCCAACUACGUGCCAGCAGCCGCGGUAAGACGUAGGGCGCGAGCGUUGUCCGGAUUUAUUGGGCGUAAAGAGC